rnacentral:rRNA from 1 species
AUUCCAGACUCCUACGGGAGGCAGCAGUGGGGGAUAUUGCACAAUGGGGGGAACCCUGAUGCAGCGACGCCGCGUGGGUGAAGGAGUGCUUCGGCAUGUAAAGCCCUAUCAGCAGGGAAGAAAAUGACGGUACCUGACUAAGAAGCCCCGGCUAACUACGUGCCAGCAGCCGCGGUAAUACGUAGGGGGCAAGCGUUAUCCGGAUUUACUGGGUGUAAAGGGAGCGUAGACGGUUAUGCAAGUCUGAAGUGAAAGCCCAAGGCUCAACCAUGGGACUGCUCUUGGAACUGCGUGGCUGGAGUGCAGGAGGGGCAGGCGGAAUUCCUGGUGUAGCGGUGAAAUGCGUAGAUAUCAGGAGGAACACCGGUGGCGAAGGCGGCCUGCUGGACUGCAACUGACGUUGAGGCCCGAAAGCGUGGGGAGCAAACAGGAUUAGAUACCCCAGUA